rnacentral:rRNA from 1 species
GACGAACGCUGGCGGCGUGCUUAACACAUGCCAGUCGAACGGAAAGGCCCUGCUUGCAUGGUAUUCGAGAGGCGCACGCGGGAGUAUAACGUGGGUGUAACGUGCUGCACUUCGGGGUAUGACUGUGGGAAUGGGUCGCUAAUACGGUAGAAGCGAUUUUGAGGCAUGUGGUUGGAAAGAAUUUUCGGUGUAGGAUGGGCUCGCGGCCUAUUAGCUUGUUGGUGGGGGAAUGGCCGACCAAGGCGGCGACGGGUAGCCGGCCUGAGGGGGUGGACGGCCCCCAUGGGACUGAGGUACGGCCCAGAAUCCUACGGGAGGCAAGAGUGGGGAAUAUUGCACAAUGGGGGCAAGCCUGAUGCAGAGACGCCGCGUGGGGGAUGACGGGCUUCGGGUUGUAAACUCGUUUCGGUAGGGAAGGAGCUUUUUGUGACGGUACCUAGAUAAGAAGCACCGGCUAACUACGUG